AUUGAACGCUGGCGGCAUGCCUUACACAUGCAAGUCGAACGGUAACAGGUCUUCGGAUGCUGACGAGUGGCGAACGGGUGAGUAAUACAUCGGAACGUGCCUAGUAGUGGGGGAUAACUACUCGAAAGAGUGGCUAAUACCGCAUGAGAUCUACGGAUGAAAGCAGGGGAUCGCAAGACCCUGUGCUACUAGAGCGGCCGAUGGCAGAUUAGGUAGUUGGUGGGAUAAAAGCUUACCAAGCCGACGAUCUGUAGCUGGUCUGAGAGGACGAUCAGCCACACUGGGACUGAGACACGGCCCAGACUCCUACGGGAGGCAGCAGUGGGGAAUUUUGGACAAUGGGCGCAAGCCUGAUCCAGCAAUGCCGCGUGCGGGAUGAAGGCCUUCGGGUUGUAAACUGCUUUUGUACGGAACGAAAAGCCCUGGGUUAAUACCCUGGGGUCAUGACGGUACCGUAAGAAUAAGCACCGGCUAACUACGUGCCAGCAGCCGCUGUAACAC
rnacentral:rRNA from 1 species